rnacentral:misc_RNA from 1 species
GAUGAAGAACGUAGCGAAAUGCGAUAAGUAAUGUGAAUUGCAGAAUUCAGUGAAUCAUCGAAUCUUUGAACGCACAUUGCGCCCGCCAGUAUUCUGGCGGGCAUGCCUGUCCGAGCGUCAUUUCAACCAUCAAGCCCCCGGGCUUGUGUUGGGGACCUGCGGCUGCCCGCAGGCCCUGAAAACCAGUGGCGGGCUCGCUGUCACACCGAGCGUAGUAGCAAUCACCUCGCUCAGGGCGUGCUGCGGGUUCCGGCCGUUAAACAGCCGUACAAAACCCAAGGUUGACCUCGGAUCAGGUAGGAAGACCCGCUGAACUUAAGCAUAUCAAUAAGCGGAGGA